rnacentral:SRP_RNA from 1 species
GUUGGGCGUGGUGGCACGUGGCUGUAGUCCCAGCUACUCCGGAGGCUGAGGUGGGAGGAUCACUUGAGCCCAGGAGUUCUGAAGCUGUAGUGCACUAUGCCAGUUGGGUGUCCACACUAAGUUCGGCAUCAAUAUGGUAACCUCCCAUGAGCAGGGGAUCACCAGGUUGCUUAAGGAGGGGUGAACUGGUCCAGGUCAGAAGUGGAGCAGGUCAAAACUCCCGUGCUUAUCAGUAAUGGGAUCACACCUGUGAAUAGCCACUGCACUCCAGUCUGGGCAACAUAGCGAGACCCCGUCUCU